ACAGAGGGUGCGAGCGUUAAUCGGAUUUACUGGGCGUAAAGCGUGCGUAGGCGGCUUUUUAAGUCGGAUGUGAAAUCCCUGAGCUUAACUUAGGAAUUGCAUUCGAUACUGGGAAGCUAGAGUAUGGGAGGGGAUGGUAGAAUUCCAGGUGUAGCGGUGAAAUGCGUAGAGAUCUGGAGGAAUACCGAUGGCGAAGGCGACCUGCUCGGCCUUGCCUGACGCUCAGACGCGAAAGCAUGGGGAGCGAACGG
rnacentral:rRNA from 1 species